GGGCCUCUCCAGACAGGAACUGGAGUUGGAGGCUUCCUCUGCUACUUGCUCAGAGAGAAGAACCUUAGGAAUGCCAUUCAGUGCCUCGGUUUCUGAGCUGUCUCACUUGGGGAAAUCCAACCAUCAUAGCUCAUGGCCACCACUGCAGGAAUCCGGAUGCAGGCCAAGUACAGCAGCACGAGGGACAUGCUGGACGCUGAUGGGGACACCACGAUGAGCCUGCAUUCUCGAGCCUCUACUGCAACCCAGCGGCCAGAGCCUGGCCACACAGAGCACCGGCGUCCCUCUUCAGCUUGGCGUCCAGUGGCCCUGAUCCUGCUGACUCUGUGUUUGGUGCUGCUCAUUAGCCUGGCAGCUCUGGGGCUUGUGUUUUUUCAGUUCUACCAGCUCUCCAACACUCAGCAAGAAAACAUUUCUCAAAAGGAAGAAAGGCUGGGGAAUCUCUCCCGACAGCUGCAAUCUCUCCAAACUCAGAAAAGGAAGCUUGCAGAAACUUUGCAUCACGUGGCUGAAAAACUCUGUCGUGAGCUCUAUAACAAAACUGGAGAACACAGAUGCAGCCCUUGCCCAGAAAAAUGGAAGUGGCAUGGGGACAAAUGCUACCAAUUCUAUAAAGAAAGCAAGAGUUGGCAGGGUUGUGAAUAUUUCUGCAUUGCUGAGAACUCGACCAUGCUGAAGAUAAAUACACAGGAAGUACUGGAGUUUGCCAUGCCUCAGAGCUACUCUGAGUUUUUCUACUCUUAUUGGACAGGGCUAUCCCGCAACGGCAAUGGCAAGGCCUGGCUGUGGAUGGACGGAGCCCCUUACUCCCAUGAACUGUUUGAGAUUGUAGUAGAUUUCACCAGCCUAAGAAGUAGGGACUGUGUGACCAUCCUCAAUGGAAAGGCUUUCUCCAAGGACUGCAAGGAGUUGAGGCGAUGCGCGUGUGAAAGAGCUGCGGCCACAGUGAAACUGCAGAGGCUCCUUGAGCCUCUCUGAGCCGGACACGGAGGCCAAUGGUUCUCCAACUACAGCUGCAACUGCAGCCUCCCUUCAGAGAAGUGGAAGAUUCUGCUCUGCAGAACAAAAGUCAAGCUCUUUAUGUGCGCCUGGCCUAGUGUGGUUUCUGUUCCUUUUCCUUCCAUUUCAUCCCUGUUUAUACCUUCCAGGUAUUACCGUAAUGGAGCAAUCACUUCAAGCAAAAUUUCUUUCAGGUAGAAGAUCUUAAUGCGUAUUUCUCACAGAUGAAAUAUUUCCAAAUGCUGCAGUUAGCGGAAGAAAGGCCGUUGUUUCUGAGGUAUCCACAGACCUGGUUAGUUGAUUGGGGGUCCCUGUAUUAGUGACCUGGAGAGGCAAGUCAGUGUAUCUGAGGUUAGGUGUUGGGCUUAUGGGAAUGUCCUCUGGGCAAUAAAAUGAGAGAUGCACAGCUUUUCCUUUUGUUUUAAUCUGUUACCCUCUUGAGGUAGUUUUGCCCUUCUUCUUCAAUAACAGAACUAUUUUCUCUCAAUAAAGUAUGUAAAUAUUACUUCAACAAGCAGCAUUUAAAAAAAAAAAAAAGCUUGGAUACAAAAGGAUAGGGUCUAAUUUGGAAUCUCUUUUCUGAUUCUUAAUUCUCAAAAUACAAAGGCUGCUGACCAGCCUCCCCAGUUCUUUCUGAAAGCUUACUAUGGAAAUUGCCUAAUAAUUACUAUAGUCUCUUGCCCUUAGCGCUCUAGCCUUUAAAUGAUACAAAGGAAAUGUACUUGAUAAUCACAUAAUAUUGUUCAUUCAGACUCUCAAAUUUUGAUGUGAAUGUGCUACAGUGUAAUGGCAGUGGGGCUGAGAUGGAGAAAAUUUAGAAGUCAUGUAGCCAUUCUUAAAUUAUCUUGGCUUUGAUUCCAAUCAGAAGCCUGUGAAAUUAUCAUGCUGGUUAUGUCUUCUGGAGGAAAUGUAAGGUAUAAAAUAAAAUGAACUUUUGAUUUCCCUCCUGUGUCUAAUUCUUCUGGGAAUGUUUCCCUCAGAGACUUACAGAUCAGGGGAAGGAGAGGAGCCGUCUUGCCAAAGCCAAGGUUGGCUGGACCCAUCCUGAGACAGUCCCACCCAGUAAUCAUAGCUUCUUUUGAUCUACCUCAGGCUGCCAGUGAUAAAGUCCUAUAAGAAACAAGACUUGAACAGUGAACCGAGGAUGGAGAGGCAGGGGGGUACUACCAGAAAAACCCCAAUAAAUUACCAUGAAAUAUAAAGUGUGGUAUUUUGUUUCCACAGAAGUAAUUAGAAUUUGAGAGCUGGAAAGAGAGAGAGAGAGAGAGGAUUUUUAAAAGAAAGGAUACCUUUUUCCCUAUUGCUAAAUGAUCAAUGUGGUGUUAAGGACUAUGGAAAAAUUAGGCAUCUGGUAUCAAAAUAGUUUUAACAGAUUCAGAAUUUGGCAUAUAGUAUAUGACUUUCCCAGGAUAUUUCAAUGUCAGAAAUAGUUUAGAAGAUUCCAGAAGCAACUUAACGGUAGGCAUAUUUUGUGAGAAGAAAUAUUUCUAACUUUUGUCACUAAAUUUGCACAGAAAAAAUAGUAUGAACCCAUAAUUGUAAUAAGUUAGUCCAAGUUGCCUUGGUUUAUUGUAUAGCCUUAACAAAUUGUUCUACUAUUACUCUUGCAAAAAUGAACUUUGACUCGUUACUAAAUAUAGUAGGCAUAUAUUUUUAAUAAAUUCAUAAAUGUGUAAAUAUGUCUUCUACUUCGCACAUAAUUUAUGGGUAGAAUGAUUUCAGGGAAACAUCCUACUGUUUGCUCGUUAAGAUGUUAGUAAACUAGAUUUAAGGUCAAUUAAACUUUUCAUUUAGCAGAUGCUUAUUUUCAUAAAUCUCUCCAUUUCAUGAUGUCAUCUCACUUUUUAUACUUCUACUUUUCUUGAUAAUUACAAAAUUGUUAUAGCUUAUUAUACUUCCCUACAGCAUUGAAAAUAAGACAUUUAAAACAUACAUACACUUAUAAUGUAUGCAUAUCUUGGAGUGGGUUACCAUGUUACAAAACGGUAUUUCUCUUACCCUUUCCCCUUUUUGAUUAACAAAGGACAUAGAACUAACAUAUUCUCCUUGAUUUUUGAAUAACCAUCUCGUUUUUUGUUUCUCCAGUUAAAAGGAAAACAAGCCAUGCUAAUUCUUACUUUGUGUGUUAAACCUUUUUUUCAACAAAUCUACCAUUGUUAUAGAGUAUCAAGGAAUUCUGUCUUAUGAGAACCAGUCUUUUCUUUUAAUGGGUAAUAUGGUAUUUUCAGAAUGAUGUGAAACCAUAAAACAGUGUUUACCAUUUCUUCUUUGCUGUCUUAUUUGUAGAAGCUUAGAUCCCUCCUUCAAACAAUCCUCUCUACUGGUGUGUCAAAUUGUCCAGUUUUCAAAGACAUGGUAAUACCUUUCUCCAUUCUGAAUCCAGUUGUCUGGACAAGGGCUGCAGUUAUGGGUUUCAAAUAUAAACAUUUUAUUAAAGUUAUUGUAAAAAUAUUAGUAGCAUAUCUUCUCAAAAGAACCCUUGUGUCACUCCCAGUAAAGCUGGACUCUUUAACCCAAUGGUUCAUAUGAUGCAGUACUUACCAACUUCAGCUGCUUUGAGGCUGAAUACAGUAAGAUUUAUACAAUUAUUUCCAAGUGCAGUAGGUCUCUAAGAAUUAGUUUAAGAUAAAAUUAAUUUGAGAAUAUCUAUUCCCAAAUUGUUCCUCCUCUAUAAUAAUUGAUCUGAUUAUUCUAUUUUUAGAAAUCUUUCCUUCUUUUAACUUUACAUCAUUUAUAAUCUUCAUUUGUUUGCUUAUUGUUUCAUGUCUUUUAAUCUUAUUGGCCCAAUUUAAUUGGGAAUGUACCGAGCAUAAUAAUAAGUACAUUCCCAAUUAAUUGAGUAGCAUAAUAAGCCUCAAGUUGAUGUUUAAAUUCUGAGAGUUAAACAUGAAAACUUUUCCGCAUAGAAUGGAGAGAACAAACAAUGCACCUUGAGGAAUGAUUUUAAAACUUGUGGGUGAGGAAAAGUAAACAAAAACACAAGUGACCAAUAUGUUUAUUUUAGGACUUUGAUAUAACUAAGAAUAAGCCAUAGUGUUUAACCAGUUUUACAGAACCUGUGUUAAGAAAGAAUGUAUUCACAAAAGAAGGAUGCUUAAAUGUAUAAAAGGGGAACCAAAGAGGAAGAAUUUGACCAAGUGUUUCUGGCACAGUUUUAUAGAGGGAAAGACACUGAAACUGCCAGAACACUAGUUAUUAGAGAAAAGCCUUCUACUUAAGACCAAAAAUAGUUCAUUAUCAGUCUCCACAGCACAGAUGUCAAGUUAUUUAAGGCUCUUCAAUAUCCUUUGUUUGAAAUACACUCUAAUCAGUAUCCUGAAUAUUGUUAAAGUCAUAGCAUAAGUAGUGUUGAGGUGGCAGUUGAAAGGUUGAGAACAUGCUGGAUUUGUAAGUCUCCAAAAUGGAUAUUGUCACUGAUUUAAGGUUGAUGGCUCAGAGGUGGGCCUAACUCAUGCUUUCAGUAGUCUGUUAUAUUUAAAAACAUGGAAGUUUUUUAAACAUUUACUUGACUAAAUUUCAAUUAGAAGGAGCUAUGGUAGGUUUUUGACCUCUUUUAUUGACAAUUACUAAAAUGAUAUCCACUACAAGGAAGUUAAUUCUCUAAAUUUUAUGUAUUAGUAUUAUUAAACGCUAGUUAAGUAACCACAGAGUACUUGACACACUAUUAACAAGUCAAAAUAGACAGGUUUAAAAUGCUUGUAAGGGAUGAAAAAGAUAAAACCAAAGUCACUUCAUAGAAUUUUUAAAAAAGAGCUGAACCCUGCAUUGUUAUAAUUUUUGUAAAUACCCUGAUUUUCAAAAUGAAUUUUCUGCUUCAAGAGAUAUCUAAAUUUGAAUCUAAAGCAAGAUCUAAACUAAAUAAAUUGAGGCAUUUGGAGCUCUAAUUAAAGAUACACAUAAAUUUGAAUGAUUGGAUAACACAUAAUAUGUUGCAUUUUUUGUUGUUUAAUCUUACCUACUAAUCUCACAUAUUCCAUUUUGACAUUUGACUGUAUAUUUUCCUUAUCUGUAUUUCUUGGAACCUCAGUAUUUUCCACAUACUAUUGAUAUAUAUAUGUAUAUAUAUGAGAUUGAACUGAAGAGUAGAUCAAAAGUAUUUCUCUCCUAUCAUGAAAUCUUGACUAUAAUUUUACAAAGAAUAAAAUGUAUGUCACUUGUUUUUUGUUGUUGUUGUUUUGAGGAAUUGGUGUAUACAUGUGUAUCCACGCAGUGGAAACUGAUUUUGUAUCAAUUACCUGAACU